UAAUAACUCUCUUCGUUGAAAUGCUACUA
rnacentral:piRNA from 1 species